CUAGCUAGCCUCGGGGAUUUCCUGGUUAGGAAAGCAUUGUUUCCUUGGAUAUUCAUAAAUUCGACGUUCUUUUCUUUUGAUAGGUAGGAUAGAUUUUUUUUUAUGUAAACCACGAAUUAAAGAAUACUGGUAAAAAAAAAAGUACAUCCAAAACAUUGGGAUCAUUACAAGAUGUGUGUAGAGUUGAGAAAGUCAAUCGUGUCUUUCCCCUAUGUGGAUUUUGUAUGUGUUCCCUAGUGAGGGAAAGCAUCUUUUGCCUUAUGACUACCAAUCAAGUACCUAUAUUAACAUUUACAAUAAUUCAAAAAACAAAAUUUGGGAAAUGGGCGCGAUUUGCUAGAUGUAAAGCUGUAUGACCGUAAACAAAAGCUGCUUAGAGUUUGCUAAUUUUGCUGGAAAUUUAAAGUAGCUUUCUUCACUAUGUGCAUCCAAAGGGAUCUUUUACACAAAUGACUGUCACGAAACAUCUGGUUUGUGUUUCAACUUGGAUCCUCUUAAUAAUUGUAUCACUUUUGUGGUGGACAUUCUUUUCUUUUGCAGACCCGUACUCUGACAUGAUUAUGGCCGAUGGUAUUAGCCUCAUCUGCAAUGACAUUCAGGUGGGUUGGUCUAGUUAGUUAAUCUAACGAGUCAAGAGACACUUGUUAUAUCGUUAUAGUUUCAAAAAAAAUUGUGUAAUUUUUCUUUUUCAAACUUCUUGUAAAUUUCAAGUUGUAUAACAUAAUGAUGUGUAGGUAUAUUGCACUUUAUAGCUUCUCCUACCUAUUUUCUGUUAAGUUAUUAUUCCUGAUUAUGCUUGAGUAAAUGUUAACUCUUUUGUUUCAUUGUCAGGUUGAUCCUCAGGAUAUAGUUAUGGUAUGUGCUAUUCACUAUAACCUUCUCAUCUAUUUAUUUGUGACAAAUUUGUAUAGGAUAUAGUUAUGGUAUGUGCUAUUCACUGUAACCCUCUCAUCUACUUUUUUCUUUCUGUCUCUCUAUUCCCUUUUAAGAUCUAGUUUUUUUUUUUGGGGGGGGGGGAUUUUUCUCAAAGGAGAGGUUAUUAAUAGAACUAAUGGUAAGAAGUAAUAUUGCCUUGAAGAGAACUACCAUUUAUUAUAAUUUUACAGUGGGCCAUAUGGCUUGGAAAUUUUGAGCUUAUACAAUUGUAGUUAUUGACUUAAUCAAACACAAUAUUUGUUCCUGAUUUCUGAUGAAUUCAUGACCAAAUGACAAUUAGUACCACAGUAAAAUUGAAGCCACACAACCAAUCAGGUUUGGUUGUUCUAUAGCUUGCUGCGUGUUUUAUGUUUUUGAACUAAGAUGGUGAUCUUUCACUUAACAGAUAUGUUUUAAAUUUCUGCUUUCUUAUAAGAAGAAGAAGAAGAAGAAGAAGAAGAAGAAGAAGAAGAAGAAGAAGAAGAAGAAGAA
rnacentral:lncRNA from 1 species